GGAGGGAUGGCCGAGUGGUUGAAGGCGGCGGUCUUGAAAACCGUUGACCGAAAGGUCCGUGGGUUCGAAUCCUACUCCCUCCGCCA
rnacentral:tRNA from 5 species